UCGGCCGAGUACAUGCGGGCACUUCACUUGCAGCCAUGCCUGUCCCGGGAGCUUUCUGGCUGUUCUAAUUUUCUCCCUUUGAUCUCCCUGGAUCCUCUUUCGGGCUGUAGAGCUCCGCUUGCACCUACCUGCCUGCUGCGUGUGUGCGAGAGAGAGAGUUUGCUUCUUUUUUUUAAUACUUUUUUACGGUUACAAAUUCCAAUUUUUAUUUUUUUUUUUUUUUUUUUAAGACCGAGCCCAAACAUCCUCAGAGCCACAUGGUUUUGUUAAGCUACUGGAAGUAACUUUUGCCUGGGAUUUACAGCAGCAUUCCCUCCCGGCCCGGCCCCUGCGGACUCCAGCAGGCUUGCUGCCUAACAGUUAUGAAGACUCCUCGAUGCGUUUCAUGUGACCUUUGGGCAGACCGUGGAGCUUUCUAUUUUAUUUUGUGGGGCCUUGAGUCGGGAUCCUCGUAAGGCGUGCUUGGAAGUGGUCAUACCGGAACUCGGGCGCGCACAGAAAUAGUGCCAGAGAAACCAGAUACGCCGUAACUUUCUGCCUGAUACCUGUUGGGCUUCGUGUCUAAACUUCGGCAGUGUUUGGGGGCCUUUUUAUUUCUUGGGAACUUCCAGCCGUGAAGAGGAGCUCUCUGUUUUAUUAAUUACCUUCGAGAACUCUACCCGGAGUCAGACUGUGAGCAUGGGCUUCUAAGGGAAAAGUAAAGCUCGUCUCCAAACUUGAAUGAAGCGCUUCUGGCAUGUGGGAGAUGGAAGGGAUCAACUCCAUUUGGAAGGGAACGGUACUGGAGCGAGCCUUCUUGUCACCAUAAAUUCAAGGAAUGCCGCCUGCCUAAUUUCUGGGAAGGAUACCAAUCGCUGCGCAUAACAUUCAGCUUAUGCUGUGGGAAUGCUGGCAAGAAGGUGAGGUGUCUCUCGAGGGUAUUUGGGAUGGAUAUUUUGGACCUGUGGAUCUUCCUAACUCUUGGCCAGGAGACAGGAGGCCUCCACAUCCGCGGGGAGACCUCCGUGUGCCUCAUCUCCGUGGGACCGAGGAGUUCCUAAUGCUCCCUGUGCACCCGAACUGACUCCUCGCUUACAACCUGUUUCCUUGAUCCUUCUGGAUUUAUCUGCCGGAGGAGAGACUCACAAUUUAGGAUACUGGGCUGGUUUUUUGGUUUAUUUUAGUUAGUUUGUUUAAAAUAUGCCUGUGAGCUCGCGGCGGCCUCUGAGCACGUGGCACGGGGCGAGCGGAGCGCGGAUGGCGAGAGCCGGGGAGCCGCGGUGAGCGAGCCCCGCUGUGAGCGGAGCGCCGGGAGCGCCGGGCCCGCCGCGCUGAGGACGCGUUCCCGAGCGGUAUGAGCGGCCCGAGCCCGCUGCUGGUAGCAUGAGUGCUGGCCCCCAGGUGCAGCUGGCUGUCCUCUGGCCUUGGCUGCUCAUGGCGACCCUGCAGGCAGGACUGGGCCACACCGGGCUGGCGCUGGCGGCGGCCGUGGAGUCGGAGCGGGCGGCGGCGCAGAAAGCCAUCAUCAGGGUCAUCCCGCUCAAGGUGGAGCCCAUCAUCCUGGAAGGGGAGUUCGCCAGCGUCGCCGAGGUGACUCCGGCCGAAGGGAAACUGCUCCAGUCCCACCCACUAUCCCUGUGCAACACCAGCGAGGAUGAACACACGGAAUCAGGAUUCAUCACCAUCGUCAAGCUGGAACAGCCAGAUCGAGAUCCCAACCCCUGCCUGUCCCUGGCCAACAAGGCAAAGCUGGCAGGGGAGCGUGGAGCCCGUGCGAUCCUUUUCGACAUCACCGAUGAUGAAAGUGCUGCUGAUCAGCUGAGGAAGCCCAGAGGCCUGAGCCAGCCCGUGGUCCUGAUCAGGGGCCACGAUGCUGAGCUCCUCAUGGGCGUCGUGAACAAGAACAGAGAGGCCCACGUGAAGAUAGAGGUCAAGGAGCCACCAGCUUGGCCAGACUACGACGUGUGGAUUCUUCUCACAGUGGUCAGCACUGUGGUCGUCAUCAUUUUGAUUUUUGUUGUCCGCACAAAGUGCCAACUGAACAGGACUCAGGACUCGGUGCAGCAGCAGACCCUGCAGGCCAUCGGGCAAUUGGCCACGCGCCGCUACCAGCCCCGGGCGCGGCCGGCCCCGCGCUGGGACUCGGCCAGCAGCUGCAGCUCUGCCCCGGUCUGUGCCAUCUGCCUCGAGGAGUUCAGCGAGGGGCAGGAACUGCGGAUCAUCUCGUGCUCUCACGAGUUCCAUCGGGAAUGUGUUGACCCUUGGCUGCAGCAACAUCACACGUGUCCACUUUGCAUGUUCAAUAUUCUUGCCAGAGACUCGGGGGACCAGGCCAUGGCUGCCAGCUCCAGGCUGGUCCCUCAGGACAUGGAGCCUGGGCGGCGACUCCACCUUUUCCGCCAGCAUCCAGGACAUGCCCUUUACCACCUCCCACACGCGUAUCCUCAGAGGAACCUCAGGAGCUUGCCCCCAGAGCCAGCCCACAGCAACCCCUUCUUCCACUCUCCAGAGCUCUCCCAGCUGGAUUUUGGCACCAUCCACUACAUGCCCUACAGACCGGCCACCUCCCUGCUGGCCUGUGGCCAUGUGGCCUCGCUGGCCCCAGGCUCACUGGGGCAGCAGCUCCCCAACCCCUGUGCAUGCGGGCAGGCGCUGGCACCCCACAGGACGUGUCCCGUGCAGCCUCAGCCCCCCUGCGUGCCGCCCAAGGCAGCCCUGGCACAGAAGCAGCACCGCGCGCCCGCCCUGCGCCGGGGGCUUGGCCACGGGCAGCAGCACAACAGCAGCGGCUCUGGGGAGAGCUAUCUCACGGAGCACAGCGGCUACCUGGCCGACGGGCCGGGCAGCGACUCCAGCUCAGGGCCCUGCCACGGCUCCUCCAGUGACUCCAUGUUGAACUGCACAGACGUCAGCCUGCAGGGUAUCCACGGCAGCUGCUCCACCUUCCGCAGCUCCCUCAGCAGCGACUACGAUCCGUUCGUGUACUGCAGCUCUGAGGGCCCCGCCACCGACCACGGCCAGGAGCAGCUGCGGCCACCCAGGGAGAGCCGGCCCCGGUCCUUGGACCUCAUGGUGCCCAGGGGGGCUGCUCCAGCCAAGCCCCAGGUGCUCAGCCACAUCCACUACCACCACCACCAGCACCACCACUACAGGCGGGACGCCGAGUGUCCCCCUGGGCGAGCCGGCCAGGGGCCGGGGCCACGCAGAUCCCGCUACUCCGGGGCCAAGGUUGCUUUCCACAGUGGUCGUACACAAAAGAGGACUGAGAAAAGCCAUCACUCUCAGCAGCCUCUGGAAAGCGGUGCCAUGCUGCAGGAGGCAGCUCCAGCAGGACAGCCAGCCUGUCCCCAGGAAGGCUGGGACCCCCCUCACGCCCCCUCCACUUCUCCAAACAGGUUGGACGUCAGUGUAGAUGCCAACAGACAAUCGGGAGCAGCUGGCACACCCCCUGUCCCGCUGGCCCCCAGACACAGCUUACAGAGCAGGCAUCACCGAAGGAAAAGAAAGUGUCCCCUGGUGCCCGACCCUGCUCUCCUGCCCAAGGACUCAGCCAAGCCCAGAGCCUGCGACACUCACCUUCCUCCCGGCCAUCCCUACCGCUGCUGUCCCGAAGCCCAGCCCCUGAUCCCAAGCGCUCCCAUGCCCGGCGGCUCCCGGCCGCUCUGGAAGUGUUUAGUGCCACAGCCCAGCUCCGAGCUGAGGAAGCAGGAGGGGUUGUCAGGACAGGAGAAAAACCGCUCGGUUCCUGCAGAUUUCUCAGGGAUGGGCACCUCCAGACACGGUCUGAGUGUCCACCUUCACUGCCCAUCUCAGAAGGGUGGUCAGGGUAAGUCUGGCCUUCGCCUCUCCUGGUAGCGAGCAGGUGAAUGAGGGAGGUGGUUUGCUGAAGGAACUCCAGCUGCCAGGACACCUGGUACCUUCUUGAUGGGUUUUCCUACAGGAGCACUGACUGCAGGAGCAUUCCAGAGCUCACCUGUGAGGAUGAUGGCCUGAAUGAUGAGCAAGUGUGUUAAAGAGUUCACCAAACCCUGAAAUGCUGCAACUGAGAAAUAAGGUGGCUAAUUUUAAUUAAACAUCUCUAGCAGCUGAAAUAUCUGCCAAAGGAAGGCAUGGGAGCGCAUUUUUCAGUGUCCUCGCACCAGCCUGGGUGUCUUACUGGCAGAGUCGUUACCACUAAGGCUUUCUGGGCUCCAGUUGUUUGAGCCAAGCCCAGGAUCUGAAGAGGAGGUUCAGGAAGUCCAUGAACACUCAGUUUAAUAAAACACUGGCCUGUUUGCUCGCUGGGAGCUGGAGUGGACACAGAUGUUGAUGGAGCUGCUCACAUCUGGCUCUGCCUAGCCUGCCCUGCUGAGACACGGACUGCCAAGAGCAACGGGCCGCUCGUGGUCUCCUGACACGUCCCCACGCCCUGACGGUCACAAUUAGAGCCCUGCUCUCCAGGCCCCAUCUCCUCUGAAGGCACAGGCAGCCCCUCAUCAUCCCAUGGCAUCGCUCCAGGCCGGGCAGGGCUCCCAGGGAGAGCUCACCGAGUGAGUGCAAGCUGCUAUUUUGGUGUGUUUAUGCCACAGAAGGUUUAGCUAAACACUGCAAAAAUAAACAAGCCUUCGAGACCAAAAGCUGCAGAAAUUACUUUCUGUGGCCUGGUAGCUCCUGACUUCAUUUCCUCACUUAGGUCAAAAGCCAGAUUUCUUCAAUUAACUUUUCCAUGCUUAUUUCAGACACAGGAACAAGCUAUUCUCCAUCUCACCGUUCACAGGGCUGCCCUGCAAGGUGCUGCUUCUGACUUCAGUGAAAAACCAAGAGCUCUCACCACUUUUGGUCACCCCAAUGUCCCUCAGCUGACGCCAUCUCAGCCACUGGCUGUGUUUGCCAGCAACAGGAGAGGGGAAGACGCAGGGACGUCAGCAUUUCUGGGAAUGAGCUGGGUCAGACUCUUUCCAUUGCAAAGAAUCCACCCUCUCAUCUGGCAAUGUGAACAAGUUUCUCACUCACCCUCUAACUCCUCCACCUACCCUCAAAUAGCUCUCAUGGCCAGCCCUGCUAAGAGCAUAUUUCAAACACAUCUCAGAUGUCCCUGUAACAGGAGUCAUGGAAAAUCCUGGAGUUCACAUGGCUCCUGCUUCUCUUUCCUCUCAUUGCCCCAAGACGCAGCAAAAAUUCCCAGCAAAAGCCUCCGUAACAAACACAGAACAGAGCCUUACCCAUCACCCAGGCUUACCUUCGUAUUCUGAGACUCCUGAAAUCCUUCAAAAGGAUUUUUCUAUCUUUUCCAACAUUCUGAUGAUUCAGGGAGAAAACUUGAGAAAUCAGGCUCUGGUUUAUUGCUUUUCUCCUCUCCCCACCAUUUAUGAGUAUUUUGGGUUUUUCUGAAUGUCACUAGUUCUUAUUUCCUGCAUCUCAUAAUUUGCAGACAUUCAAGCAAAAUAAAAGCUGCCAAAUUCAAAACAAGUAGAACCUAUGCAGCUUUCAAACAGCAGAAAAUUCCUGUCAAUUCCAUUGCCCUAAAUGAACAGUCAGGCCAGAGAAUCAGCCAGAUUCCCCUGUGCACAUUUCUGUGGCACCAGCUGCUUCCAAGCACAAGGAAGCUUUGGUGAGGUUACAGCACUGGAGCUGAAGCUGACUCCAACAAUGUGAAACUUGAUGUAGGGACAGACUUUCCCAUCUGCUCAGUAAAGUUUCCUGUGUCUUCCUUUGAAGCAGCUGCUUCUCAAGAGACCACAGUGGUGAUGCAGUCCCAGUUCAGCAUAGUCCUCUGUCUUCCUUUGUUGGUGGGAAAGCUUUUUACAGGGUUUGCUGCCCUUAAUCCUCGAAAAAGGCAUCUUUGCUAAUGCUGCUAAUCAGUCCCUGAUAGUCAAGUGAUCAAUCAAUAGCACUGUUUUAAAGCCAACAUUGGUCCCUUGUGCUCAUUCCUUGUCUCCUGUGACCAGCCCCCUGUGGGACCUUUCAGUCUAGGGAAGAGCAGAGUUAGAUUUAGACCUUGCCAGGCUCUUGCUUGUCCUACAGUGCAAGCAGAAGACACAAGCUCAGAAGUUUUCUCCUGUGCAGGGAAGUCAGUCUUAAACUAGAGGAAAAAGCCAGGAGCAGGUCUGGCUUCACCCCGUUCAGCUUUUCGUGCUCCUGGUCCGUGGCUUGUCUGAACCAGCUCCCUGGGUCCUUCACCAUCCUGGAGGGCGCAGAGGCUUAACAGAGGGGAUGGUCAUGAAGUCAGGGUGCUCCUACUGCUUUUUUUAGGAUUCAGGAAGGCAGAGAGCCUCUAGGGAUGCAUUUCACUGCUCAAAUGAACAAGUGCAACUCUGAAGUCUUUUCUUUCCCUCCUUAUCCCUAACAAGAGAGGAGAUCCCUGAAUUUGUGAGCCACAAGCUUCUUUGGGAAAGUGGUCAGCAAAACAAGCUCAUGCACCCUCUCCACUCCCAUCUGCAGUAUUACCAGGCUGCCAGGGCAGCACGUGCUUCCAAGUGUGUCCCUUUCCUGACCUUAGGCUGCUGCUCCUGUUCACGUAGAAAAUGCUGGAGUGCAGCUCUGCCUCGGUGGAGGCUCAGGGGAGGAGAGGGAGGAACUCUCUGGGAACUUGGGUUUGAAAGGAUCCUCUUCAGUAGAUGGAUGGCUAUCCUUGGCUGCCUGGAAAGGAAUCAGUAUCAGAAAAUAGGGAAUGGUUCCUCACAGUUCUUCACCUCUGGCUUCGGAGUGAUGCUUUUUGAGCGUUCAGUGCCUGUGGGCUCCACCAUGGAAUUUCUCCAGCAUCCCUGCAGUGAGACAGAGCUCAUUUUCCUUCUUUGCAUCCAAAGUCACAGCUGAAAACUGAUGCAAGCCAGAGCUUCCCAAGCUCCCUCUAUCCAAACUGAAGGUCCAGCCGUUCCCAGGAGCUCCCACCACCUGAACUGGGCAUAUGGUCAGGCUGGCUGGAUGUCUCCCUUCCUGCACAAAUCCCUCAGAUCCUUUGGAAAUGUGAAUAUCACUUCAUUUUGUUGUUGCUUUUUGUUUCCUUUGGUUUUCUUGCUGAGUCUGGCCUGGCUCUCAGGGCUUGGGAAGAAAUUAAGACCCGGGGUGGGGGA